rnacentral:rRNA from 1 species
GACGAACGCUGGCGGCAUGCCUAAUACAUGCAAGUCGAGCGAACAUUUAUAGAGGCUUGCUUCUAUAAAUGUGAGAGGCGGGGGGGUGAGAAACACGUGGGCAACCUGCCCUGCAGAUGGGGAUAACUCCGGGAAACCGGAGCCAAUACCGGAUAAUCAGCUUGGCCGCAUGGCCAAAGUCUAAAAGACGGCUUCGGCUGUCACUGCAGGAUGGGGCCGCGGCGCAUUAGCUAGUUGGUGGGAUAACGGCCCACCAAGGCAACGAUGCGUAGCGGGCCUGAGAGGGUGAUCGGCCACACUGGAACUGAGACACGGUCCAGACUCCUACGGGAGGCAGCAGUAGGGAAUCUUCCACAAUGGGCGGAAGUCUGAUGGAGCCAUGCCGCGUGAGUGAAGAAGGUUUUCGGAUCGUAAAGCUCUGUUGUGAGGGAAGAACAAGUACGGGUUUAACCGCCCGUAUUUUGACGGUACCUAAUGAGAAAGCCCCGGCUAACUACGUG